AUGCGCACCAGCAUAUGCCUCAAACUCAGCCAGAAACCAGUCUUCGCAGAGUCUGAUUCCGACGAGCGAAGAGAAAAAAUAACAUAUGGAUUGACCGUUAAGUUUCUUGCAUGAGUCCUGCAACAUGUACUUUUACUGGGGACAAACUAUAGAAUGUGAAUUAGCAACCAUCGGGAGCUCGGUUUUUUCUGAAGAUACCCAGGGAAAAGUUGUCGCACAGGAAAACUGUUACAAUAAGACGGGUCCAUCAAGCUCCUUUGUCAAGUGAAUGAAGAUUAACAAACCAGAUUCAUGUUACAACAGGAUGAGGUUUUUGCUGUACCUUCAGUUUACCAGCCAUUAUCCAUACUCUGCACGCUUGAUCCAGUGUAUCGCCAUUAGCCCACGAGAAAGCUGUACUGUUUUUUCCUUCCGUGUUGUUGUCGUCUUUGUGAUGAUUGAUGUGACGUGUAGAGUAGACAAGGAAGACCGAUUUGCAUUUUCAAAAUGUCAUUCUACCUGAUGCGCGUUUUACAGUGCGGUUCGUAUCCAGUUGCUUUUUCUACGCAUUUGCCCUUUUCC